AUUUAUAUAGUUUAAUUAAAACAUUACAUUUUCAUUGUAAAAAUAUUAUUAUUUAAUUAUAAAUU
rnacentral:tRNA from 1 species